CCACUGAAUGGCUGACGUGGAGGGCGUUCCCUCUCCUGAAGCCUACCAUCUUCGCCUCCUCCGGUACCAUCAGCACCCUCAUACACUCGUGAAGCUCCACCGAUGUACCCAUUUCCAAAAUCACGAUUUUGACUCAUCGAACCUCCUCGUCCACCCCUACCACGACCAGGCCCACCUCGGCCAGCCCCGCCACGUACCCCGGUAGUGUUCCUCACCUCCCUUGACUCUCGC
rnacentral:lncRNA from 1 species